GUUGUCGUGGCCGAGUGGUUAAGCCGAUGGACUUGAAAUCCAUUUUGGUAUCUUCGCACAUGUUCAAAUCCUGCCAAUAACG
rnacentral:tRNA from 1 species